rnacentral:rRNA from 1 species
UACAGAGGGGGCGAGCGUUGUUCGGAAUUACUGGGCGUAAAGGGCGCGUAGGCGGCCCGCUAAGUCGAACGUGAAAUCCCCAGGCUCAACCUGGGAACUGCGUCCGAUACUGGCAGGCUUGAAUCCGGGAGAGGGAUGUGGAAUUCCAGGUGUAGCGGUGAAAAUGCGUAGAUAUCUGGAGGAACACCGGUGGCGAAGGCGGCAUCCUGGACCGGUAUUGACGCUGAGGGCG